rnacentral:rRNA from 1 species
AGUGAACGCUGGCGGUAGGCCUAACACAUGCAAGUCGAACGGCAGCACAGUAAGAGCUUGCUCUUACGGGUGGCGAGUGGCGGACGGGUGAGGAAUACAUCGGAAUCUACUUUUUCGUGGGGGAUAACGUAGGGAAACUUACGCUAAUACCGCAUACGACCUACGGGUGAAAGCAGGAGAUCUUCGGACCUUGCGCGAUUGAAUGAGCCGAUGUCGGAUUAGCUAGUUGGCGGGGUAAAGGCCCACCAAGGCGACGAUCCGUAGCUGGUCUGAGAGGAUGAUCAGCCACACUGGAACUGAGACACGGUCCAGACUCCUACGGGAGGCAGCAGUGGGGAAUAGUGGACGAUGGGCGCAAGCCUGAUCCAGCCAUGCCGCGUGGGUGAAGAAGGCCUUCGGGUUGUAAAGCCCUUUUGUUGGGAAAGAAAAGCAGCAGGUGAAUACCCCGCUGUUCUGACGGUACCCAAAGAAUAAGCACCGGCUAACUUCGUG